AGCUAUGAAUCUGUAGGGGGAUUUCUUCCGGUAUCUGGGACCUGGGUUUUCAUUUCCGGUCAUCAAUUUCACUCCUUUGUUACUUUCUGAAGUUGAUUUUGAUUCCAACGCCUGUUUAAUUAAUCCAAUAAUGGCGUCUUCGAUUGUGAACGGGGCUGAAAGCUUCGCGCUCCUUAGAAGAACCAAUGGCGUAGCCCCAAGGGGAUUAGGUUUCGUGGGUUCAGAUUCCCACGGCAAGAACUUCCCUAAAUUGAACACGCUAUCCAUGAAUAGAAUCCCUAGGAUCAGUACUACUAGCAGAAGAACUACAACAAUGGCUCCC
rnacentral:lncRNA from 1 species